UACGUAGGGUGCAAGCGUUGUCCGGAUUUAUUGGGCGUAAAGAGCUCGUAGGCGGCUUGUUGCGUCGACUGUGAAAACCCGCGGCUUAACCGCGGGCUUGCAGUGGGUACGGGCAGACUAGAGUGUGGUAGGGGAGACUGGAAUUCCUGGUGUAGCGGUGAAAUGCGCAGAUAUCAGGAGGAACACCGAUGGCGAAGGCAGGUCUCUGGGCCAUAACUGACGCUGAGAAGCGAAAGCAUGGGGAGCGAACAGG
rnacentral:rRNA from 1 species